CCCCCCUCCCCGCCGCGGUUCCGGUUCGAGCUCUUCUGGCUCAACCAGGCUGGCUUCCGGGAGGCCGCCGUCGCCCGCUGGAUCUACGCUAGGACGGCACCCCAUCGCGCCAUGUCCGCGGUCGAUUCUUGGCACUUCUGUCCCAAGUUAGCCCACGAGUUCAUGAAGGGAUGGGGGGCUAAUCUAGGCCGGGACUUGAGAGAGCGCAAGAAAUCCAUCCUGCUGGCGAUUCAAGCCUUGGAUGCGCGCGCGUACUCGACCGGGCUCUCCUCGGAUGAGUGGCUGCUCCGCUAUGACCUAGAGGACCAGCUAUCCCUCAUUUACACGGAUGAGGAGGCCUACUGGCGCCUACGGGGCACCCAGAGGUGGGUGCUUCAGGGUGAUGCAAACACCGCCUACUUCCAGGCGGUUGCGAACGGCCGGCGCCGCCGCAACUUCAUCCACUGCCUGUGGGAUGGAGAUGCGCAGUUAGUGCAGCCCGCGGCCAUCCGCCUUCAUGUGGAUGGCUUCUAUAGGGCCUUAUUUACCCCCACCCCGCGCGGUGGGGCUAGCCUCGCCCCCGAUAUUUGGUCGGGCACGCUCGGAGUCUCGGCUGAAGCCAAUGCGGCCUUGGUUGCUCCCUUCAGUGAGGACGAGGUCCUCGCUGCCAUUAAGGGGAUGAACCCCUCCUCGGCCCCGGGACCUGACGGUCUCCCUGUAGCUUUCUUCAAGACGUUCUGGCCUACCAUCAAGCAUGAGGUCAUGGCUCUCUUUGAGGAAUUCUACUCUGGUACCAUGGAUUUGGGGCGCCUUAACUAUGGAGUGGUGACCCUCAUCCCCAAGUUCCCGGGUGCCGCCGAUAUCCGCCAGUUCCGCCCCAUCACAGUUAUUAAUGUGAUCUUUAGGAUCCUGGCGAAGGGGUAC
rnacentral:rRNA from 1 species